CCUACGGGGGGCAGCAGUGAGGAAUAUUGGUCAAUGGACGAGAGUCUGAACCAGCCAAGUAGCGUGAAGGAUGACUGCCCUAUGGGUUGUAAACUUCUUUUAUAUGGGAAUAAAAUGUUCCACGUGUGGGAUUUUGUAUGUAACAUAUGAAUAAGGAUCGGCUAACUCCGUGCCAGCAGCCGCGGUAAUACGGAGGAUCCGAGCGUUAUCCGGAUUUAUUGGGUUUAAAGGGAGCGUAGGUGGAUUGUUAAGUCAGUUGUGAAAGUUUGCGGCUCAACCGUAAAAUUGCAGUUGAAACUGGCAGUCUUGAGUACAGUAGAGGUGGGCGGAAUUCGUGGUGUAGCGGUGAAAUGCUUAGAUAUCACGAAGAACUCCGAUUGCGAAGGCAGUUCACUGGACUGCAACUGACACUGAGGCUCGAAAGUGUGGGUAUCAAACAGGAUUAGAUACCCGGGUAGU
rnacentral:rRNA from 1 species